rnacentral:piRNA from 1 species
UAAAACUCGCUCUCGUGUUUUUGGAGUGU